AACCCAUGCAUCAGACAUUUUCUAAGUAAUUCCUUAAAUCUCUCCCAGGCUUCGUAGAACGUUUCAUUCUCUGAUUGUCGAAAAGAUGUUAUGUCAUUUCUGAGCUU
rfam:Gossypium hirsutum cultivar TM-1 chromosome 24, whole genome shotgun sequence